rnacentral:rRNA from 1 species
CGGAUCGCAGGCUGCAACUCGCCUGCGUGAAGUUGGAAUUGCUAGUAAUCGCGGAUCAGCAUGCCGCGGUGAAUACGUUCCCGGGCCUUGUACACACCGCCCGUCACACCAUGGGAGUUUGUAACACCCGAAGUCAGUAUCCUAACCGCAAGGGGGGAGCUGCCGAAGGUGGGAUAAGCGACUGGGGUGAAGUCGUAACAAGGUAGC